rnacentral:rRNA from 1 species
CGCGUAGGCGGUUCGUUAAGUUGCUGGUGAAAUCCCGGGGCUCAACUCCGGGGCUGCCGGCAAUACUGGCGAGCUCGAGCACGGUAGAGGCAGAUGGAAUUCCCGGUGUAGCGGUGGAAUGCGUAGAGAUCGGGAAGAAUACCAGUGGCGAAGGCGUUCUGCUGGGCCGUUGCUGACGCUGAGGCGCGACAGCGUGGGGAGCAAACAGGAUUAGAUACCCUGGUAGUCCACGCCGUAAACGAUGGACACUAGGCGUCGGGGGGAGCGACCCUCCCGGUGCCGUCGCUAACGCAGUAAGUGUCCCGCCUGGGGAGUACGGCCGCAAGGCUGAA